GAUGACAGAAGAGAGAGAGCACAACUAGAGCUUGUGAUCCCUGAUAGUCCUUGAAUGGUUGAUACUGUAUCAAAAGCAGUGAGGUCUUCAUAUCCCAAUGAGGGGUCCUGGAUUAAUGAACGUGAAUCAGAAUUUGAGCCUCCCAAAUCAUUUGGAUAUUGACUAGCGCUCGCAAUGAAAAUGCUUCUUGUGACUGGAAUUGAUGCUAGUGGACUAAAAUCAGACCCAUCUUCAACUUUUAUGUGCUUGCACCAAUCAUUUGUUCCAUAUUUCUCAGAAUGCAAUGCGCCAGUAGGAAGUAUAUCUUGACAGAUAAAAGACGCUAAUGCAGUGCCGUGAAAUUUGCUGGUGGCAAAGCCAUUGUACGACUGAAGUAGCCUCUCAGUCCUUCCAGAGUGAAAACCAACUUGAGGCUUUCUCCGACGCUCAUUGUGGCCUGCAAGACGUUUACGACAGCUGCGUUUACCGUCAUCAAAUUCAACCAGCAAAUGAAACCUGCUGCAUUGUUGACAAAAUCUCUGUUCCAUUCCGUUCACAAUAACUUUGGCAGUCUUAGAGUGAACUUCACAGACUUUAUGUCUCUUGUGAUAUUCUUUUGAAGAGCUGAGAUCCUUAUUACAACCAUGAACUUGGCAAUGGGGAGUUUGGGAAUUGACUCCCAGUCUCACUCUCUUCGGAGGCGCAGAUGACUCAGAUGAAGACAGAGUAGAUGCGCCUUUGGAAAUUCUGGAAUUCUGACCAUCAGCGGGAUCACCAAACCUUCCCAGCUUCAAAUCAAUGAACGAAGAAUCCCUACUGUUAGAGUCCACAACAGAGCUAGAAAGUCCGGAGGAGGACUCAUCCUCCAC
rnacentral:misc_RNA from 1 species